rnacentral:rRNA from 1 species
CCAUCCCGCGUGCAGGAAGACGGCCUUAUGGGUUGUAAACUGCUUUUAUACAGGAAUAAACCAUCUUACGUGUAGGGUGUUGAAGGUACUGUAUGAAUAAGCACCGGCUAACUCCGUGCCAGCAGCCGCGGUAAUACGGAGGGUGCAAGCGUUAUCCGGAUUUAUUGGGUUUAAAGGGUCCGCAGGCGGGCCUGUAAGUCAGGGGUGAAAUCCGGCAGCUUAACU